rnacentral:rRNA from 1 species
UGGGGAAUAUUGCACAAUGGGCGCAAGCCUGAUGCAGCCAUGCCGCGUGUGUGAAGAAGGCCUUCGGGUUGUAAAGCACUUUCAGCGAGGAGGAAGGUGGUGGACUUAAUACGUUCAUCAAUUGACGUUACUCGCAGAAGAAGCACCGGCUAACUCCGUGCCAGCAGCCGCGGUAAUACGGAGGGUGCAAGCGUUAAUCGGAAUUACUGGGCGUAAAGCGCACGCAGGCGGUUUGUUAAGUCAGAUGUGAAAUCCCCGGGCUCAACCUGGGAACUGCAUUUGAAACUGGCAAGCUAGAGUCUCGUAGAGGGGGGUAGAAUUCCAGGUGUAGCGGUGAAAUGCGUAGAGAUCUGGAGGAAUACCGGUGGCGAAGGCGGCCCCCUGGACGAAGACUGACGCUCAGGUGCGAAAGCGUGGGGCAGCAAACAGGAUUAGAUACCCUGGUA